UAAUUGGAAAAAAAUACUUGAUAGUGAAAUAGACAGUUUGUCAAGUGUGCAACACAUCUUACUCAUCAACACUCAAAAUGUCACAUCUGCUUUACCCAUCCCACUGAGUAGUGAACAUUCGCACUGCAUGUUGUGAACACACCCCCAUCGCCAUCAGAGAAGUGUGCUGUAGAGAGCAAUUGGGCUUAAGGUAGCUUGUCCCUGCCUGCAACCUUGACGUUACAAGCCAAUUGAUUUGCAUUCAAAGAUGAAAGCUGGAAUAUAUGUGCAACUUGAAGGGGACAACCUGUUGCAAAUGUGAUGAAGAAUCAAAUCUUAGCGAGAAUUAUUUCCCAUUGAGAGACGACGUUGAGGUUAACGAUUUAAGGCCUGUUGCACGUCAACCUCAGAUUUCUGUCCAAUGUGAGGAAAACCCUGAGGGUAAAGAUGGACUGGUGAUAUUCGACAAGGAGACGUUUCCUGAUGUCUUUCUUUGCCGUUUAAGGGUGGAAGAUCAUGCUAAAGAUGAAGGAUGAAUAUUUAUGAGCAU